CCUCGAGAAGCCUUGUUCCAAUUUGAUAGAGAACUUCAAAACUCUGGUGAGAGGAAGAAACCCUUGGAAGCACAAUCUUGACAUGUUUGAGCGCUUCAGUCCAUCAGGCUACCCACAACAGUCAACAACAUUUGAUUGCGGCUUGUUUGCUAUUUUGUACAUGGAGAACUUAAGUGCAAGGGGG